rnacentral:tRNA from 1 species
GGAUGUGGCUCAGCUUGGCAGAGCACCUGGUUUGGGACCAGGGGGUCGCAGGUUCGAAUCCUGUCAUCC